rnacentral:lncRNA from 1 species
UGGUAAAGUGCUAUUAAAAAUUAGGCAACACUAAGACUGCAUGUGUAACGAGGUACAGUUCAUAUGAAUUUCUCGUAAUGCCGUUUGGCUUAACCAAUGGUCCAACAACUUUUUGUAAUCUUAUGAGCAAUGUAUUCUAUGAAUAUUUAGAUAGAUUUGUGGUAGUCUAUCUAGAUGAUAUUGUGGUGUAUAGUGAAACAAUAGAUGGUCAUGUGGAACAUCUAAGAUUGGUAUUUCAAAAACUUAGGGAAUAUCAAUUAUAUGUCAAAAUGGAGAAGUGCGAGUUUUGUAGGGCAGAAGUAAUGUUCCUUGGGCACUGGAUUAUUCAAGGACGAGUCAGAAUGGAUGAGAGAAAAGUCCAAGUCAUUGUUGAAUGGACUGCUCCUGCGAAAGUUGUUGGGUGCACAAUUUGACACUAUUUUUUUUCGCGUCUAUGUCCUCCUUGUGAUGCACUGGUUCGCCCAACCAGUCAGUAACCUGAAAAUCAUACAAGCACAGUCUGUAUAAACAAGCCACACACACAAGCCAACAGUGUUUACACGACAAUGUCCCAACCUUUUAUUGCUCACUCAAUAACAAGGAUUAUAAUAUAUGACUAGGAGCUCGCAGGCUACACUUUUUCAGUCUUAUUUAGUAUCGGUCCAAUUCUGGAUUGAACUAGACUACCAAUUUUUAAUGGUCAAAUAAAUUUUUUUUCAGGAUCGGUCUAGUCCAAUCCAGAAUAGAAGUAGACGGUUAUGGUCAUAUUGGAAAACAUACGAAAUAUAUUCAGAUUUUAUUUGGUUUUCUCCAAUAUCUCAUUUCUGAAAUUCUGGACUUCAUAACUAAUUUGAGAGAAACCUUAGUGGGUUAAUGCUGUAUAAUACAAAGCUUCCUUGAUAUUGAUAUGAAAGUUUACAGAAAACAAUAAACUUAUUAAACAUUUGACAUGAAAACUUCCCUGAAUUGGACCUCUUUGUUUAUUUUUUUUAAAUUUAUUAAGCUUGAAUAUAUAAAACAUUCUCCAGUGUAGCUUUCCUCUUUGUUUUAGGCAUGACUUAUUGAGAAGCUUUGCAUGACCUAACCAAAAGAAAAUAAGUGUUGUGGUUGCCAUUAGUAUGACUUAAAUGUUUAUCUUUAUUUGAGCCCAAUAGCAUUGCUGGUUGAAGCAAUCAUGGCAUUCUCAUUUGCUCAUGAGGUAUUUACUCUGUUAGGAACCUUUUUUGUUAUUUUCUUAGUAAAACAAAAAUGAUGCACAUGAAUAAUAAUAAAUAAAUAAAAACAAAGAAUUGUGACCGUUCCCAUUAAAUAUUAAUUAGUAGCUUGACAAAUGCGAUGCGUGACAAAAAAUAAUUUAUAUUAAUACUUUAAAUAUUAUUAUAUAUUCAUCCACCCUACAAAAAAAAGUCUUAUUUUAUAAAAAUUAAAUAUAUAAGAUAAAUAAAAUGUAUGAAAAAGAGAUCCGUAGGAUUAUGUUUGUUUGCAAGAAAUAUAAUCCGGGAUUAUAAUCUCAUAGAUUAUAAUCUCAAGACUAUUAAUCCUAAGAUUAAAUUGUUAUAGUCACAUGUUUGUUUUUUAAAAAUUCAUACAAAUGUAAUAAAGCAAUAAUUUUUCUCGGAUUUGGAUAUUUUUUUCAUGAUUUUUUGUGUUACUGCUCUUUAUGAUUUAUGCUUAUACCCAUUUUUAUUCCAAAAUGAUGAACCGCAAUAUUAACAUUCAUUUUUUCCAAAACAAAAAUUAAAAAAAGGGGCAAAAUUUUUUCCAAAAUGAUGAACACAGAUAUUAACAUUCAAUUUUUACAAAACAGAAAUUAAAAAAAGGGCAAAAAAAUGGGACUAAGAAGAAUUUGAUCAACAAGAAAGAGAGAAAUGAAUGAAAAUUUGAUAAAAACCUUAAAUCUCUCAUAGAGCUCCUCCUCCUAAUCCUCUUCUGAAGAGCUGAGACACAGAUCUGAUUCUUUCCAUGCUUGCAUCCGAUGCUUUCAGACUUGGACAUAGGUCAUGUUCUUGCACUAUAUCUAUUGUGUUGUGAUUGUGAAGUUUGAGAUAAGAUUGAAGUUUAAGGAAGAAAAUGGUGCUUGAUUGAUGAUGGUGAUGGAACAAUUGAUUAUGGUAAUGGUGUUGGAAAUGUUGAUGAUGAUAAUGGUGUUUGAAGUGUUGAUGAUGGUGAUGGAGGGGUUUAGGGAAGAAAUAAUGUGAUUUUUUUAUUUGUUUUUACAUUAUCUCUUUAAAUUAGUUACUCCCUCCGUCCCAUAGUUAUAGGCUGAUUUUUCAUUUUGGGAUGUCCCAAUAUAUAAGCUACUUACUAUUUUAAAAUUUAGGUGGUUCAUUCUUUU